GUGAGGAAUAUUGGUCAAUGGGCGGGAGCCUGAACCAGCCAAGUCGCGUGAAGGAAGAAGGAUCUAUGGUUCGUAAACUUCUUUUGCAGGGGAAUAAAGUGCAGGACGUGUCCUGUUUUGUAUGUACCCUGAGAAUAAGGAUCGGCUAACUCCGUGCCAGCAGCCGCGGUAAUACGGAGGAUCCGAGCGUUAUCCGGAUUUAUUGGGUUUAAAGGGUGCGUAGGUGGUUUGAUAAGUCAGCGGUGAAAUCCUGCAGCUUAACUGUAAAAAUGCCGUUGAAACUGUCGGACUUGAGUGUAAAUGAGGUAGGCGGAAUGCGUGGUGUAGCGGUGAAAUGCAUAGAUAUCACGCAGAACUCCGAUUGCGAAGGCAGCUUACUAAGCUACAACUGACACUGAAGCACGAAAGCGUGGGGAUCAAACAGGAUUAGAUACCCUUGUAGUCC
rnacentral:rRNA from 1 species